UAGGGAAUCUUCCACAAUGGACGCAAGUCUGAUGGAGCAACGCCGCGUGAGUGAAGAAGGUUUUCGGACCGUAAAGCUCUGUUGUUGGUGAAGAAGGAUAGAGGUAGUAACUGGCCUUUAUUUGACGGUAAUCAACCAGAAAGUCACGGCUAACUACGUGCCAGCAGCCGCGGUAAUACGUAGGUGGCAAGCGUUGUCCGGAUUUAUUGGGCGUAAAGCGAGCGCAGGCGGAAGAAUAAGUCUGAUGUGAAAGCCCUCGGCUUAACCGAGGAAUUGCAUCGGAAACUGUUUUCUUGAGUGCAGAAGAGGAGAGUAGAACUCCAUGUGUAGCGGUGGAAUGCGUAGAUAUAUGGAAGAAUACCAGUGGCGAAGGCGGCUCUCUGGUCUGCAACUGACGCUGAGGCUCGAAAGCAUGGGUAGCGAACAGGAUUAGAUACCCUGGUAGUCCAUGCCGUAAACGAUGAGUGCUAAGUGUUGGGAGGCUUCCGCCUCUCAGUGCUGCAGCUAACGCAUUAAGCACUCCGCCUGGGGGAGUACGACCGCGAGGUUGAAAC
rnacentral:rRNA from 1 species